rnacentral:rRNA from 1 species
UACGUAGGGUGCAAGCGUUAAUCGGAAUUACUGGGCGUAAAGCGUGCGCAGGCGGUUUUGUAAGUCUGUCGUGAAAUCCCCGGGCUCAACCUGGGAAUUGCGAUGGAGACUGCAAGGCUAGAAUCUGGCAGAGGGGGUAGAAUUCCACGUGUGAGCAGUGAAAUGCGUAGAGAUGUGGAGGAACACCGAUGGCGAAGGCAGCCCCCUGGGUCGAAGGAUUGACGCUCCAUGCACGAAAGCGUGGGAGCAAACAGGAUUAGAGACCCGUUGGCAU